GGCAAACGAGAUGAUAAAACAGCCGUGAA
rnacentral:sRNA from 1 species